UUUAUGGAGAGUUUGAUCCUGGCUCAGGAUGAACGCUGGCGGCGUGCCUAAUACAUGCAAGUCGAGCGAACAGACGAGGAGCUUGCUCCUCUGACGUUAGCGGCGGACGGGUGAGUAACACGUGG
rnacentral:rRNA from 2 species